rnacentral:rRNA from 1 species
GAUGAGCGCUGGCGGCGUGCCUAAUACAUGCAAGUCGAGCGAACGGACGAGAAGCUUGCUUUUCUGAUGUUAGCGGCGGACGGGUGAGUAACACGUGGAUAACCUACCUAUAAGACUGGGAUAACUUCGGGAAACCGGAGCUAAUACCGGAUAAUAUUUUGAACCGCAUGGUUCAAAAGUGAAAGACGGUCUUGCUGUCACUUAUAGAUGGAUCCGCGCUGCAUUAGCUAGUUGGUAAGGUAACGGCUUACCAAGGCAACGAUGCAUAGCCGACCUGAGAGGGUGAUCGGCCACACUGGAACUGAGACACGGUCCAGACUCCUACGGGAGGCAGCAGUAGGGAAUCUUCCGCAAUGGGCGAAAGCCUGACGGAGCAACGCCGCGUGAGUGAUGAAGGUCUUCGGAUCGUAAAACUCUGUUAUUAGGGAAGAACAUAUGUGUAAGUAACUGUGCACAUCUUGACGGUACCUAAUCAGAAAGCCACGGCUAACUACGUGCCAGCAGCCGCGGUAAUACGUAGGUGGCAAGCGUUAUCCGGAAUUAUUGGGCGUAAAGCGCGCGUAGGCGGUUUUUUAAGUCUGAUGUGAAAGCCCACGGCUCAACCGUGGAGGGUCAUUGGAAACUGGAAAACUUGAGUGCAGAAGAGGAAAGUGGAAUUCCAUGUGUAGCGGUGAAAUGCGCAGAGAUGUGGAGGAACACCAGUGGCGAAGGCGACUUUCUGGUCUGUAACUGACGCUGAUGUGCGAAAGCGUGGGGAUCAAACAGGAUUAGAUACCCUGGUAGUCCACGCCGUAAACGAUGAGUGCUAAGUGUUAGGGGGUUUCCGCCCCUUAGUGCUGCAGCUAACGCAUUAAGCACUCCGCCUGGGGAGUACGACCGCAAGGUUGAAACUCAAAGGAAUUGACGGGGGCCCGCACAAGCGGUGGAGCAUGUGGUUUAAUUCGAAGCAACGCGAAGAACCUUACCAAAUCUUGACAUCCUUUGACAACUCUAGAGAUAGAGCCUUCCCCUUCGGGGGACAAAGUGACAGGUGGUGCAUGGUUGUCGUCAGCUCGUGUCGUGAGAUGUUGGGUUAAGUCCCGCAACGAGCGCAACCCUUAAGCUUAGUUGCCAUCAUUAAGUUGGGCACUCUAAGUUGACUGCCGGUGACAAACCGGAGGAAGGUGGGGAUGACGUCAAAUCAUCAUGCCCCUUAUGAUUUGGGCUACACACGUGCUACAAUGGACAAUACAAAGGGCAGCGAAACCGCGAGGUCAAGCAAAUCCCAUAAAGUUGUUCUCAGUUCGGAUUGCAGUCUGCAACUCGACUACAUGAAGCUGGAAUCGCUAGUAAUCGUAGAUCAGCAUGCUACGGUGAAUACGUUCCCGGGUCU